rnacentral:rRNA from 1 species
CCUACGGGCGGCUGCAGUGAGGAAUAUUGGGCAAUGCCCGCAAGGGUGACCCAGCAACGCCGCGUGGAGGAUGAAGGCCGUAAGGUUGUAAACUCCUGUUAGAGGAGAAGAAUAGUACCGAUUGGAUCGGUAUUUGACUGUACCCUCAGAGAAAGCCCCGGCUAACUACGUGCCAGCAGCCGCGGUAAUACGUAGGGGGCCAGCGUUAUCCGGUGUUACUGGGGGUAAGGGGCGCGCAGGCGGGAGAGCAGAAAGCCUACAGCGUAACUGUAGAACUGCAUUUGAUACGGUUAUUCUUGAGUUCGGGAGAGAGAGACGGAAUUCCAGGUGUAGUGGUGAAAUACGUAGAUAUCUGGAAGAACACCAGUUGCGAAGGCGGUCUCUUGGUCCGAUACUGACGCUGAGGCGCGAAAGCGUGGGGAGCAAACAGGAUUAGAUACCCUGGUAGUC